rnacentral:rRNA from 1 species
GAUCAUGGCUCAGGAUGAACGCUGGCGGCGUGCUUAACACAUGCAAGUCGAGGGGAAACGACAUCGAAAGCUUGCUUUUGAUGGGCGUCGACCGGCGCACGGGUGAGUAACGCGUAUCCAACCUGCCCACCACUUGGGGAUAACCUUGCGAAAGUAAGACUAAUACCCGAUGAUAUCUCUAGAAGACAUCUGAAAGGGAUUUAAAGAUUUAUCGGUGAUGGAUGGGGAUGCGUCUGAUUAGCUUGUUGGCGGGGUAACGGCCCACCAAGGCAACGAUCAGUAGGGGUUCUGAGAGGAAGGUCCCCCACAUUGGAACUGAGACACGGUCCAAACUCCUACGGGAGGCAGCAGUGAGGAAUAUUGGUCAAUGGGCGAGAGCCUGAACCAGCCAAGUAGCGUGCAGGACGACGGCCCUAUGGGUUGUAAACUGCUUUUAUAAGGGAAUAAAGUGAGUCUCGUGAGACUUUUUGCAUGUACCUUAUGAAUAAGGACCGGCUAAUUCCGUG